rnacentral:tRNA from 3 species
GGGCUGUUAGCUCAGAUGGGAGAGCGCCUGCCUUGCACGCAGGAGGUCGUCGGUUCGAUCCCGACACGGUCCACCA